CUCCCUCUUUCCACCGCUCUCUCUCACUGGCAAGGCAUCUGACAUCUCCAGGCAAAAGACAAAUUCUGUUUCGCCUGUUAAGUCGUCAGUCAAAGCUGCGCAAGAGUUUUUUUCCUCUUUCUUGCUCUCUCUCUCUCUCUCUCUCUCUCUCUCUCUCACUGCCUCUUUCUCUCUCUCUCCCUUUCUGUGUUUGCUUCAUUUCCGUGGAUGCCGUGUUGUGAAGGCCGCUUACACGCUUUUCAAACAAUAACAGUUCACCCCCCCACCGCAAGUUUCCUCUCUGCCAGAACCCUACACAUGCCAGCACAUCCUUUAGAGAGCCUUGAACCGACAACAAACGCUUAAGCAUUUUCACCGCCGAGAGAAAAGAGGGGCCCAUCCACAAGCCCCUGUGUAAUUAAACUAGAUCUAAUACUGUUAUAUGUUUCUCUUAGUGGAAGGAGCAUUUCAGGGGCCUUUUUCUCACAGCACUGAAUAGCUGUUUCCAGGUCAACACAAUACCCUGCAUAGGGACGAAUAAAGCUUUUGCAAAAGGUUAGUGAAAGUUUUCCAACUGGUUUUUGUGGGCCUAAAAGAGUAAGAAGAGUGCAACAGUCCUGGGCCAAUAUAAGAUUUUGUAAUUAUUUUUCUUUCAGCGCUAAUUGAUUGGAUUUAGAGCCUUAACAUCCACUGAAAGAGGGAAGGUGACAACAUUCUCAGUCUUUCUGUCAAUACGCAUCAUUAUAAUGCUGUAAACAACUCAGACUGUGAGUAGAAAUGUACCCUCUAACUGUCCACUGACUGUGAAGCUGAAAGAUAUAGAGCUCCCCCUAUUGAGUGGCUGCAGUAUUGGUCAAAAUCUCUUCCAUUUAACAGGAAGAUGGGUCAAGCUAUUAAAAAUGAGAUACACAUUAAAUAAAGUUUAUUCAACUAUGGUUUCUGUCAUUAGUGAGGUUUUGUUUUGAUCCACUAUUUCAUUGAUUGAUUAUUUGACAGCAUUAUUGACCAAAGCAGGCUCGGGUGUUCUUGAUCACAUUAUCAGAGUAGAGCUGCAAGGGAGAUUGUAACACAAACACAAUAGUCAUUGAACUAUCCACAACUGUAAAGGUUUGUUUUACUCAACACACGAAACUGUUUUCCUGUGGACUGUACCCACUUGAGGGGUCUUCAGCAUUUCAUCAGUAACAAUAAUAAUAAUAACACAAGAGAGGGUUGAAACAAGACAAACAAAUUAAUAAUCCAAUAGUUCAAGCAAUGGACAGUUAAAACAAUAGUUGAAAUAAAUGUCAGACUAAAU